UACGUAGGGGGCAAGCGUUGUUCGGAAUUACUGGGCGUAAAGGGCGCGUAGGCGGCACAGCAAGUCGGGAGUGAAAGCCCGGGGCUCAACCCCGGAACUGCUUUCGAAACUGCUGAGCUAGAGUACAGAAGGGGCAACCGGAAUUCCCAGUGUAGCGGUGAAAUGCGUAGAUAUUGGGAAGAACACCUGAGACGAAGGCGGGUUGCUGGGCUGAUACUGACGCUGAGGCGCGAAAGCGUGGGGAGCAAACAGG
rnacentral:rRNA from 1 species